rnacentral:rRNA from 1 species
UACGUAGGGGGCAAGCGUUGUCCGGAUUUAUUGGGCGUAAAGAGCGUGUAGGCGGCCAAGCAGGUCAGCUGUGAAAACUCGAGGCUCAACCUCGAGACGUCGGUUGAAACCGCUUGGCUAGAGUCCGGAAGAGGAGAGUGGAAUUCCCGGUGUAGCGGUGAAAUGCGCAGAUAUCGGGAAGAACACCCGUGGCGAAAGCGGCUUCCUGGUCCAGCACCGACGUUCAGGCACGAAAGCGUGGGGAGCAAACAGG